UUGGAGGGCAAGUCUGGUGCCAGCAGCCGCGGUAAUUCCAGCUCCAAUAGCGUAUAUUAAAGUUGUUGCAGUUAAAAAGCUCGUAGUUGAAUUUCGGGAUCAAUUUAUCGGUCGUGCCUCUGGUAUGCACUGGUAUUAUUGAUUUCUACCUUCUGACGAACCAUGAUGUCAUUAAUUUGGUGUCAUGGGGAAUCAGGACUGUUACUUUGAAAAAAUUAGAGUGUUUAAAGCAAGCACACGCUUGAAUACAUUAGCAUGGAAUAAUGAAAUAGGACGUUUGAUCCUAUUUUGUUGGUUUCUAGGAUCGACGUAAUGAUUAAUAGGGAUAGUUGGGGGCAUUAGUAUUCAAUUGUCAGAGGUGAAAUUCUUGGAUUUAUUGAAGACUAACUACUGCGAAAGCAUUUGCCAAGGAUGUUUUCAUUAAUCAAGAACGAAAGUUAGGGGAUCGAAGACGAUCAGAUACCGUCGUAGUCUUAACCAUAAACUAUGCCGACUAGGGAUCGGAUGAUGUUAAUUUUUUAAUGACUCAUUCGGCGCCUUACGGGAAAC
rnacentral:rRNA from 1 species